rnacentral:lncRNA from 1 species
GAAACAAACAAACAUUCCUUAUACCGUAACACAUAAUUAGAUAAGAGUCUAAAGAGACUUUAAAACCUAAUCUAUCAUGUGACAUAACAAUGUAAUAAAAAUGUCAUAUUAUAGCUCAUCUCACACCAGUCCGAAAUGCAAUGGAUCCGUCCAAUUAAGCGCAUCAGGUCAUAAAUCCCCCGCUGUCACGACGUAGUGACCUUAAAUUGGAUUAGUGCGAGAGAACAUACAGGCUCUGAUUAAGGACUUUAUUCAGGUAUGUCGGUUCAUAAAGACGCCUGAUGUCGGGACGGUGAAGGCACGUCUACAAGAUAAUGUGGUGUAAACAGAUGGUAAACGUAAUUUCCGGACACAGAUGCGACUUGCAAGGGUCAAAAUCUUUAUAUUAUGAUCUCUAUGUGCAUGCGAAUAUCUUCAGCCGACUUGUAAAAUGUCCAAACAGCUCCAACUGCUACCUAAGAUGAUAACACGGACGAUAAAGGAAUGAAGGGUAUGUCUGCUUCACUACGAUUGACAAAACUUGCACAUCUACUUUCAAGCUGGUGAAAGCACGACUUCAAGAUGUAAACUAAAAAAGAAGAUGGUAAUUUCCGGCCACAAGUGUCAAAAUCUUAAAAUUAGGGUCGAAGAGAAAUAUACGUCUCCUUGCGGUAAACAGAAUACAGCACGGCAUUUUGCUUCAUAUACGUGUUAUUCGAAAGACAACAACAGUUUAAAGCCAAAGGAACCCAAUCUAACAAAUUGUGUCAGUCUUUGGACAUUGGAAAUUCUCCCCUUUGCUGAUGAAAUACCAUCUAUCAUUUAAUGGAUAUUUAACUAGAACAGAACGGAACAGAACAGAACAGAACGGACCAGAACAGAACUCUCAGUCAGCAUUUACAUCUCUGUAAACGGCAUCGAUAUUGCCAUUUAAUUUAUCAUAUAUUUAUCGAUUUAUAACUGGUAUUCUGCGGACUCCGUAAUUGAUGCAUUGCCAUUUUCUUGACAAAAUAUUGAUAAAUCAGUUGAUAGACCGAUACCGAAGUUGGAUUUUGCUGUUAUCCGAAUUCAGAAAGCAGCAUAAUACAAUAAGUACAAUGAUUAUCAAGAUUUAUAAAAAAUGUUUCACCUAGAGUUAAUUCUACACGUCUGACAAACCGGAAGUAAUGGCAUGACGUCAUUUAACCGGAAAUAUAACACAAAACCUGGACUCGGCAUAUGGAUUCUCCUUUUCGUUUGCCUAAUUUUCUUAAAAUAUCUAUGGGUUUGAAAACUUAAGAUUUUCUCAAUUCGAGCAAACAACAACUACAAAACCACCAUAAUGUAAAUUCUGUAUGUUUUGUGCAAAUUUGUCAAGAGGAUACAUGUAUAUAAAUGUGUACAUGAUAUUUUAAAUUAGUUGUCAAGAAUAUUAUUUUUACAUUUGUGAUAUAAUAGAUGAAUCUGAUAUAAUGAAGUUAUACAUAUCUGUGUUUU